rnacentral:lncRNA from 1 species
CAAAAAAAAAAAAAAAAAAAAAAAAGAAUUUUCAUCCUGACCAAUCUGGGUGACCAAUCAAUUAAAUUGGUUUAGGAAGAGCUUGCCCUAGAUUGGUUGAUUUCAUAAUUUUUCUUUUUAUUAAUUAUUGGGUUUUUCUCUCUGAUCUCUGCAUUGAAAAUUAUUUCCUAAGCCAUAAAGACUUGUUGAGGUACCAUUCUAGAAUCCCCAAUAUUUAUUCUAGUUGUUAUAGUAACAGUGGAACCCAAGUUUCUCCUAAAGCAUUACCCAGCUUUCCUUGCCCAGGCAGAAAAGAUGGCAGAGGGAGGGUGAACCCAGGGCCCAUCUGUGGGUAUGGGCUCCAAUUUCCUAAAUUGUUUGUGGUUAUAACCAUGGCUUCCACCUUGUCUGGCACCGGGUCCACAUCUUUUCUGAGACCUGCUAGAAGGUCAGAGCCCUAGAGAAUAAGAGAAGCUUGCUGCUGGUGAGGGGGUAUGGCCAGGAUUCCUGGAGUCGGAAGAGCUUCAGCUUCACCAUCUUGGGAGAAGAAGGAAGAAAGUGAAAGCGAUGUGGUCCUUCUUAGUCCCAAGGACCCUGACAGCUUUCACAUGUGAUGUUUCAAGGCAACGGGGAGAGCUUCUUUACCAGAACGAGGGAGAAGAUAAGACUAAAGCAGUAAUGGUGGUAGGGACUGAAAAUCACUUAGUCUUUUCUCUACUCUCUUUCUUUCCAAACUUUGAGUUGAGUGGUGAGCUUGGAAAACACUCCAAAACUCCUCGUGGCCUCUGGCACCAGUCUGACACCCAGUAGGAAUGCAGGAGAUUACGUUAGUUUUCAUAAUUUAGCAUUGAUCACUCCCAGCUCGUAGCUAAAGUUGAUCAGUAACUGUUGGUUGGUUGGCUGGUUUGGGGCUUGGGGAUCCCUGAGCCAACUCAAGGGCCAGAAAGGAUUCCAGAGUGUUUCCACGGUCCUUCAAUGUUCCUUAAGCAUUCCCACUUUCUGAAGUGCCAUACAGAGGCUUGGGGCAGAGACAGGGAGAGGGGAUGACCAGAAUGGAUGGGGAGCCGGAAGGGCCGGGGCUCUGGGGACCCAGCUCAGAGCAGCGAGAACAGCGGAAAAGCAGGCAGAUCAAAACAAACACAGUGUCUGGGAACACCAAGACCCUCCUAAUCCCAUCCCCGCCAAAGGGACCCCACCCUUAUCCUCUUUAGGGGCGCGGC